AAUAUUUAUAUAUUUAUAUAUAAAAAAGGAAAAAUGUUUACAAACAAAAAAAACAUUAUGAGAUGAACAGGUGCGAGGUCGAAUGGUGACUUGCUCGGCCACCUAACCAAAAAAAAAAAAACAACACCACAGGCAGAGACAUUUGCUGAUUCUUUAUGGACAUCGCGGGAAGUUCGAGGCCUACAUAACAGGAUCGAUAGUGUCGAUGUUGCCUGCAACAUGGAACACACUCGUAAGAAUUUACAUGACGCUUUACAAUUGCUGUUACCAACCAUCAGUUCUACUAGUAAAACAAGUAACGGCCCACCAGCAGCAAAUAUACUUAUUCUAAUGUUAUCAUAGGAAGUUCGAGGCCUACAUCACAAACACAGAACAAGAAAUUAAUAAUAAAUUAAUUAAGAUAAGAAUGAAAUAAUUUAAGAAAUAUAAUAAACUCUUAACUGGAGCCGCGGUGGAAUAUUACUCGGAGUCGCGAAUUCGGGUAAUGUUUGCGUACGAUUACAGUAUAAAAGAUAUAGAAAUUUAAAGUACAUAUGUUUAAUAAUGUACUAAAAAUGCGAAUUUUUAAGGCGAAUUUAUAAGGUGAUUUUUUUUUAAAUAAAAAUAAAGACUAUUACAAUAUAUACAAUUUUUUAAGACUAUUGUGAAAUAAAAAUAUUUAAUAGGGAAGUAUGCUCUUAACCCAUUUCGUACCUUCGAGUGGUACACCACUCGGCUAACUUUGAAAAUUAUUUAAAAAUAUAUAAAAGUAUUUAAUUCAUUGUUUUUUAUUUUAGU